rnacentral:rRNA from 1 species
GGGGUCGGUAUACAGGUGGUGCAUGGUUGUCGUCAGCUCGUGUCGUGAGAUGUUGGGUUAAGUCCCGCAACGAGCGCAACCCUCGUUCCAUGUUGCCAGCACGUGAUGGUGGGGACUCAUGGGAGACUGCCGGGGUCAACUCGGAGGAAGGUGGGGAUGACGUCAAAUCAUCAUGCCCCUUAUGUCUUGGGCUUCACGCAUGCUACAAUGGCCGGUACAAAGGGUUGCGAUACUGUGAGGUGGAGCUAAUCCCAAAAAGCCGGUCUCAGUUCGGAUUGAGGUCUGCAACUCGACCUCAUGAAGUCGGAGUCGCUAGUAAUCGCAGAUCAGCAACGCUGCGGUGAAUACGUUCCCGGGCCUUGUACACACCGCCCGUCAAGUCACGAAAGUCGGUAACACCCGAAGCCGGUGGCCCAACCCUUUGUGGAGGGAGCCGUCGAAGGUGG